UCCAUGUUGACACAGAACGACGGAUUUCACUGUACGUUACAAUAUUUCGAUACACACGUGUCUAAUCUUUAACUUUAAAAUUAGAAAUCACAGGUCAGUUAGCCUAAAGUCAGCAGUAAUGAAAAGCAUGAAGUUAUUAUCAAGGAUGACAAAGCAGGGCUCUCAGAAAUGAUUAAUGGAACUGUACAAAGUUAACACAGAUUUCUGAAAAGAAAAUCACAUUUGACGAAGAGAGAUUGCAAUUGCAACAAUAAUCUGCUGGAGGAAUUCAGUGGGUCGAGUAGCAUCAGUGGAGGGGGAAAGGAGACAUCAACACAUAUCCGGCCAUCAAAGUCCAGCAUCAGGACAUAACCAGCAAAACUGCAGGGCUUUUUUGAGCAUUUAACCUUUAAAGCAGGCUGGCAGGGGUCCUGUCGGAGUCCAUGUACUCAAACUACGUUCUUCAUGGUAGGAGGCUUUCGGAACUCGCCGAGCAGCCUGCAUUUUGGGAUCCCGAGGAGCGGCCUCGAAAACAUGCACCUAGGGAAUGCGGCCCUGUGGAUGAUCCAAUUCCUCGCCGAUGUCACUGAUGGAACUGUCAUGGGUGAUCUUAACAUUGAGACAGCUGUCAGAGGCCUCUGCAUUCCAGCAAUAUCUCUCUCCCUCACAACGAUGAGUGAGAGUUUGGUUCUCGAGAUGGGGGAACUCGAGUAAGUGACGCUGCACAUCAGAAGAGCAAGCUGCUGACCUCCCCUCUCACUGUGGCGGGAGCAAUAUCUCUUUCUCUCACCCUUGUUAGUGAGCGAGAGGGCCUGUUGAGAUGGUCAAGUGUUGGGACGGACAGUACUUUGAUGGGACUCGAGAUCAUGGUCUCUGGUGGCUUUGCUAUUGCUGGCGUGGUGUGUGGUGGGGGGGGGAACAGGUGGGUUAAUGAUUUUGCUGCUGCUUGUACAUGGGAGGGGUGGAGUUCCAAUGUUUUCUGUCAUUCAUUCUUUGGGUUUUUUUCUCUCUUCCCUUUCAUGGAUGUCAGUGAAGAGUAAGAAUUUCAGGUUGUAUACUGUAUACAUUAUCUGAUAUUAAACUGAACCACUGAACAUUG